rnacentral:lncRNA from 1 species
GAUUUCCAUUAUAUCAUUUAAAAGUUUAUUAGAGAAAAACCUUUGAAGUUUGAAUAUUGUCACUAUUAAAUGAUUGCAGUUAAGGGUUAAUUGAAAUUUCGUUGUUAUCAACAGUAAAAACAUGACCAUCUUGCUAAAUUUCAUAAAAAUCUAGUGAAGAAUUCAGGAAAUAUUGAGAUCAUAUCAGACAUUUGAACUUUAGCCAUUUUUAAAUGGUUACUUUUAGAGAUUUAAAUCAUACGGCACGUUGGGUGAAACUUUAAUAGAAAUUAAUAAGUACUUUUGAUAGUUGGUUAUUUUGGACCUAGUACUUUAAUAAAAAGUAAUAGAUUUAAGAACAACCAGUUGUCUAUUGAAAAUAUUAAAAAAUUUCAAUAUAAAAACAUCCAUAAAUGUCAACGUAUCUGAUCUUGGAAUCUAACACAUUAUUUUGCUACCUUUAAUGCUAGAACAUUUUUACAAAGUUUCAUAAAAAUCGCUUAUCAGUUCAGAAAUUAGUGUCUCACUAACUUCUGAACUAAUAAGCGGCAGUUCAGCUUCAGCACGGCGAUCUUAUAAACUUGUUUUUGAGAAAUGGACUAAGAAAAAAACGCGUACGCCUCUAUAAGUUAUGUAGAUGUACAGUAUAAAAUUUCAACUCUUGGAAUUGCAUUCUUAAUCGGUCUAUGAUAGUGUUGAACAUCGAUGUUAGUAAACAUCAGUUUUUGUGCAUUGUCAGCAACAAUUGUAUUGACAUAUUCUUAAAAGGCAGUAGCAUUCUGAACGCAAAACGAAGCAAAGAUGAUAGAAAAAUUUAUAUCAUUCGCUUCGUGUUGCACUGCGCCGCAGCCUGCCUAUAUUAUAGCCGAGUUAUUUCUCAUGUUUCAUGAAUUUGCCAAUAG